rnacentral:rRNA from 1 species
GACGAACGCUGGCGGCGUGCUUAACACAUGCAAGUCGAACGGAAAGGCCCUUCGGGGUACUCGAGUGGCGAACGGGUGAGUAACACGUGGGUGAUCUGCCCUGCACUUUGGGAUAAGCCUGGGAAACUGGGUCUAAUACCGAAUAUGACCGCGCUCUUCAUGGGGUGUGGCGGAAAGCUUUUGCGGUGUGGGAUGGGCCCGCGGCCUAUCAGCUUGUUGGUGGGGUAAUGGCCUACCAAGGCGACGACGGGGAGCCGGCCUGAGAGGGUGACCGGCCACACUGGGACUGAGAUACGGCCCAGACUCCUACGGGAGGCAGCAGUGGGGAAUAUUGCACAAUGGGCGCAAGCCUGAUGCAGCGACGCCGCGUGAGGGAUGACGGCCUUCGGGUUGUAAACCUCUUUCAAUAGGGACGAAGCGCAAGUGACGGUACCUAUAGAAGAAGGACCGGCCAACUACGUGCCAGCCGCCGCUGUAA